UACGUAGGGAGCAAGCGUUGUCCGGAAUCAUUGGGCGUAAAGCGCGCGUAGGUGGCCUUCGUAAGUCCGUUGUGAAAGUCAAAGGCUCAACCUUUGAAAGCCGAUGGAUACUGCGGAGCUAGAGUACGGAAGAGGCGAGUGGAAUUCCUGGUGUAGCGGUGGAAUGCGCAGAUAUCAGGAGGAACACCGGUGGCGAAGGCGGGUCUCUGGGCAGUAACUGACGCUGAGGAGCGAAAGCGUGGGGAGCGAACAGG
rnacentral:rRNA from 1 species